GAUGAACGCUGGCGGCGUGCUUAACACAUGCAAGUCGAACGGAAAGGCUCCUGCUUGCAGGGGUACUCGAGUGGCGAACGGGUGAGUAACACGUGGGUGAUCUGCCCUGCACUUCGGGAUAAGCCUGGGAAACUGGGUCUAAUACCGGAUAGGACGAUGGUUUGGAUGCCAUUGUGGAAAGUUUUUUCGGUGUGGGAUGAGCUCGCGGCCUAUCAGCUUGUUGGUGGGGUAAUGGCCUACCAAGGCGUCGACGGGUAGCCGGCCUGAGAGGGUGUACGGCCACAAUGGGACUAAGAUACGGCCCAGACUCCUACGGGAGGCAGCGGUGGGGAGUAUUACACAAUGGGCGCAAGCCUGAUGCAGCGACGCCGCGUGGGGGAUGACGGCCUUCGGGUUGUGAACUCCUUUCGCUAGGGACGAAGCGCAAGUGACGGUACCUGGAGAAGAAGCACCGGCUAACUACGUG
rnacentral:rRNA from 1 species